CGUGUCUGUUUAAGCGCCGCCUCAGCACCUACAAGGCAGAUUCAAAUUUACAUUAAAAACUUUUCAUCAUCAUUUUAAUUCAAACUAUUAUAGAAGAGCAAGAUGCAGAAGACAAACUAUUAGGGCUCAAAAACAGCUAUGGACAGCCGUAGAACUAAAGUGGCAAGACUCUACAGAGACGAAGCUAAUUGCUGCAAAAUAGUUAACUAUAGCUCCAAUACCUCAAUACAAUGAAUAUGCGGCUCUUAAAAAACCCAAAGGAUAUCUUCUGCUAGAAAAAGAUUGUGAAAACCAAAGGACAAUAUAUCACUGAAAGCUUCCCCACAAUCAAGCCAAAAAUAUUUGAAUUAGUAAGUUACUUCUGAUCAAGCCAGAUAUUGUCAAAUUCUUAUUACUUUAUUAAAUACCUAUUACUUUAGUAAAUUACAUUAGGUAGGAUAUAGUUCCCAUAUAAUAUGUAAAGAGCUUAUUGUACUUUAAUUUUUUUUUUUGGUGCAAAAAAUGUUUAAGUUUUAGCAUUUAUGAUCAUUUUCCCGACGACGAAUGUGAAUUAUGUUUCAAUGAGAAUAAAUUCAAAUGUUUAAAAUAACGGUUUUACUUGUUGGGUUGUAAUAAAAUUAUUAGAUCAAAAAGAUUACUUAUUCUCCUAACUUAUUCUAUAGUUUUUGCCUAAACUUUUGACUUAUCAAAUACAUAUAAGUACAAUAUUUAGAUGUAGUAACUUGCUUACAUUACCAUAAUGGUUGUUUGUUUUUAUGUAAACAAACCUAAACCACUUUCAUUAUAGAACAAACUCCAACAUCGCGAAAUAAAAUCAGCUGUUCCGUAGAUUUUGGCAGAGUAGAUAAUUCCACUUUUGUAUAUGAAACAGCUGAUAUUUCUUUUACGAUGUUGGAUUUGGCUUUGGAUUAGGUAUAGACCUAAUUAAAGUUGUUCAGGUUCGUAGUGCGAGUCAUUCCUUAAAAGUUUACUCAUGAUUUAUAUUUAACCCUGUUAUUGUGAAAAUUAAAACACAAAAUAGUUAUUGUUUCUUGACAUUGUGAAUUGUGUACUAUUUUUAAAAGUAGUAGUAUCUAAGUGUAAGUAGUAUGUUACUUGAAAUGAUUGUAUCGUGUACUGAAUAAAGCUAAUUUCAUUAA